GCGCAGCCUGAUGCAGCGACGCCGCGUGCGGGAUGACGGCCUUCGGGUUGUAAACCGCUUUUGACUGGGAGCAAGCCCCUCGGGGUGAGUGUACCUUUCGAAUAAGCACCGGCUAACUACGUGCCAGCAGCCGCGGUAAUACGUAGGGUGCAAGCGUUAUCCGGAAUUAUUGGGCGUAAAGGGCUCGUAGGCGGUUCGUCGCGUCCGGUGUGAAAGUCCAUCGCUUAACGGUGGAUCCGCGCCGGGUACGGGCGGGCUUGAGUGCGGUAGGGGAGACUGGAAUUCCCGGUGUAACGGUGGAAUGUGUAGAUAUCGGGAAGAACACCAAUGGCGAAGGCAGGUCUCUGGGCCGUCACUGACGCUGAGGAGCGAAAGCGUGGGGAGCGAACAGGAUUAGAUACC
rnacentral:rRNA from 1 species